UCCACUGGCGGUAAAGAAAUCGAAAAGGCUAUCGACGGCUUCAGAUACGUGCCACGACGUGCAUUAAAGAGCCCUAAUUAUUACUCUUGGAUUUCGUUCGGCGGUACCUUUUACCUUAAACUUGCGAGGUCACCUGGCCCCUCCAUGAUUGAGCGGUUACUGGAUGCAACGAUUUCACGUCUUCUUACUCAAACCAGUUCCAAUUGCAAGAAUGGUUCAUUACCUUCCUUUCAUUACCUAACGGUGUCUACUUCCUAAAAUUACUCAUUUUCGCUACAACUCCACCAAAUGAUUUGGCUCCUUCUGUGCGUAGAAGAGGGAAGGCCCCCGUGGUGGAAACUGCUGACAAGUUGGGUCUAGAGGAUCUCGUCGCCGAGAUAGUUCCUCAAACCCUAUACCUUGAGGGCGACUAUCAAAGCGUCAACAAGGGCAGGCCAGUGGAGGAGUAUGUGUCCUUAGUGAGGGAGGAAUGCCUUUCUCGAGUAAUGGCAGAUUGCGACUGGAUGCCGAUGUUGAAUUCGACAUCGUGGGCGACGAGGCUCGAAUCACCAACCACAUGGCAGGCUUCUCUAUGAUCUUCACUAACCCGUUUACCAUAGGCUUUGGGCUCUCUAUACCCAAAAUUAUUGAAAUCUUCUGCCACCACUAUCAGGUCUGUUUGGCUUAAUUGCCCCCCCCCCCCCCAGUUCUGGAGAUUGGUUGCAUGCAUCUAAUUCCUGGCCGAUCGGGCCAAAAUGAAUUUCACCCUUGACCAUCUGAUACAUCUCUACUCUCUUCGACUAUUCUGGGAGGAAUGAUACGCUUGAUUGCAUGAGGUACACGCACCUUGAUGAUGAGUGCUGAAGACGACCUUGACCGGGGAUAGUGGGACCAGUUUGAUAGAAUCUUAACAUAUCGACUGCAUCAGCCAACUUCCCCACCGCUUCCGAAAACAUAGAGGCUUUCACGGAAGAUAUCAAAUGCUAGGGUGCUCCCUUAAUCCGCCUCCAUAUUUGCUCGUAUUCGGGACUUAGCUUCCGAAGUUUCUUUACACUAGAAAAGAAGGGCCCAGGAUUAUUGCGAGCCCAAUAUUAAGGGGAUCAAUGCACGUCUCCUCCACCGUUGUCGGGAGAUCAGGAGCUGGAGGGCAGAGAUGACCAGGGUGGUCAACAUCGAUGCCGAAGAGGUAGAGGCCAUUUCUAUGGGAGGAGGUGGAAGAUAUGAGGUUUCAACCGCUGAAUUGGAGGUGAUCGGGGGACUUGUGAAGGAGAGUGUGGUUCCUUCCGGUCCGGCAAUCAGGGACGGCUGAGGUACCAUUGAUCAGGAGCUUCCCACUGAAGAGGGCCUCUCGAAUCUUCUCCUUACCCGCUCUAUUCACUUGCCAUCACCUCUAUGAAAAUUGCAUGAAGUUAGCCGAUGGCACUCACCGAGGAAGUUGAGUGUGCUAAGGCUGAGGUCAGCGAGCUUCACGCAAACAACUCUAAGCUUCGAGAAGAUCAAGAGGAUAGGCAAGCUCUAUGAUCAUUCUUAUCUUUGUAGUUUGAUUAUGUCCAGAAGGAAUUGAUGGAGCGAAAGGCUACUCUGGCUGUUCUCUCCGAAUCCAAUCGGGAGCUCUAGGUGAAAAACCUUUCUAGGGCGAAUGACCAUGCUCAAGAUUUAUCUUCAAGCAUUGCUCUUCAGGAGUGGAUGGCUCAAUGCAGGCUGAACUAAAGACCUUCAAGGACCAUUGUCAUCAAGAGGUAGCUUCUAGAAUAAAGCUCGAGGACCAAUGUAGGAAACUCUGGGUGUACCGCCAAGCUGACAAAGAAACGGCCGAGUUGGACCAGAAUUGGGUGAUCCUCUCUACCCAUUUGGAGACCCUGCAUCCAGUUCAGGGAGGCGGCCUUGAUCUUUCCUAAAUAAUCAUCGAGGCUGAAGCAGUCACCGCUACUAUAGAGCAAGCCCUAGAACUGGUGCCAUCUGGGUCCGAUGAAGAGAGUUCCGAGAGCGAAGAUUCUGCUGGUCCUUUUAGAAGUGUUUCCCCUGUCUUAGUGUUUGUUUUAUGGAGUCCUCAGGAUACUAUGCCCUUUUUAUAUUUUAUCUGUUUUGGGCACUUAGGUUAGGUAUUUUUAGAUCCUUUCUACGUGUGAAUGACAUUUGGUCCCACCAAACAAAUACA